rnacentral:rRNA from 1 species
CGGGGGGAGCAAGCGUUGUUCGGAUUUACUGGGCGUAAAGGGCGCGUAGGCGGUCAGCACAAGUCAGUUGUGAAAUCUCCGGGCUUAACUCGGAAAGGUCAACUGAUACUGUGCGACUAGAGUGCGGAAGGGGCAACUGGAAUUCUCGGUGUAGCGGUGAAAUGCGUAGAUAUCGAGAGGAACACCUGCGGCGAAGGCGGGUUGCUGGGCCGACACUGACGCUGAUGCGCGAAAGCCAGGGGAGCGAACGGGAUUAGAUACCCCGGUAGUCCUGGCCUUAAACGAUGGAUGCCUGGUGUCUGGAGUUUUAUAGUCUCCGGGUGCCGUAGCUAACGCGUUAAGCAUCCCGCCUGGGGAGUACGGUCGCAAGACUG